rnacentral:rRNA from 1 species
UACGUAGGGGGCAAGCGUUGUCCGGAUUUAUUGGGCGUAAAGAGCGUGUAGGCGGCCAGAUAGGUCUGUUGUGAAAACUCGAGGCUCAACCUCGAGACGCCGAUGGAAACCAUCUGGCUAGAGCCCGGAAGAGGAGAGUGGAAUUCCUGGUGUAGCGGUGAAAUGCGUAGAUAUCAGGAGGAACACCGGUGGUGUAGACGGCUUUCUGGACCGUAACUGACGCUGAGACACGAAAGCGUGGGUAGCAAACAGG